GACAGAGGAUGCAAGCGUUAUCCGGAAUGAUUGGGCGUAAAGCGUCUGUAGGUGGCUUUUUAAGUCCGCCGUCAAAUUCCAGGGCUCAACCCGUGGACAGGCGGUGGAAACUACCAAGCUGGAGUGACGGUAGGGGCAGAGGGAAUUUCCGGUGGAGCGGUGAAAUGCGUAGAGAUCGGAAAGAACACCAACGGCGAAAGCACUCUGCUGGGCCGACACGUGACACUGAGAGACGAAAGCUAGGGGAGCGAAUGGGA
rnacentral:rRNA from 1 species